UACGGAGGGUGCAAGCGUUUAUCCGGAUUCACUGGGUUUAAAGGGUGCGUAGGCGGAUAGGUAAGUCCGUGGUGAAAUCCUGCAGCUUAACUGCAGAACUGCCAUGGAUACUAUUUUAUCUUGAAUGUCGUGGAGGUUAGCAGAAUAUGUCAUGUAGCGGUGAAAUGCUUAGAUAUGACAUAGAAUACCCAUUGCGAAGGCAGCUAACUACGCGAUAAUUGACGCUGAUGCACGAAAGCGUGGGGAGCAAGCAGG
rnacentral:rRNA from 1 species